AGCUAUGUACCACAAUUUUAAUACAAAGAAAAAUAAUCUGGUCUACAAAAACAUCUAAAUAUUGAAGACUAUGCCAGAAUUUGGCAGAAAAUUUAUAUAAUUGUUUAUGGUAUAAUAGUUGCAAUAUUAAAUCUGCAAUGAAUUGCAAAAAGAAAAUAAACAUAAUACUAAAUUUUUAAUGUAACAUUUCAGUUAUUUUUCUGGGUUUCUUGUUGGAUUAAAUGCAUAGUCUAUUCCCAAAUCAAAUGUAUCUAAUGUAUUUUACACAGAGCAAUGAACUAUACAUUGAUAAUAAAAAGGAAGUAGGAAAAUCUUACUCCCUACAAGCAAAUUUAUCUAUCUGGAUUAUUUCGUGUGUAGGAAAUAAGGCAAUGAAGUCUCAAGAAAAUAAAAUGUUUUGCUAAGCUUAAAAACUUGCUCUGAAAAUACAUUUCUCUCAUUUUGACCCUUUAUUUAGAAUAUUAAUUCUCAAAAGCAUUUGAGAAUGUGGCCCUUUAUUUAGAAGAGUAAUUCUAAAGUCCCUGUUAGCAAGGCAUAUUCUCAAUUUCUACCCUGAACUUUCUGCAUCAUAAUUUUGGGGAUAUGGCCCAGCAAUUGGCAUUUUACAAUCCCUUCAGGGUAUCCUUAUUCUUGCUAAAGUUUAAUAAUCCCUGCAAUAGAAUACAUUUUGGUCUAUUUUUUUUGUCAUCAUGGGAGAGGAAUCUACCAGUAAAUAGAGAGUCAAAGUAUUUAAUGGAAAUUAGUAAAUAAAUUGUCUCUCAAAGAGUCCACUAAUAAUAUAGUACCUGUAGAGAAUACUGACUCACAGGAGGACGAACUUAGCAAGUCAUUCUUAGAGCCUUCACCGCACUAUCAUCCUGAAAGUUACAUGACCUCACUACAUGAGGGAGAAAACAACACAAGAGCAGAUGUCUUCUUUUUAAAGGCUUGUAUAAAUCGUAUUUAUUCAGUAGCUAUUUUAUUGUUCUAGAGGUAUUACAAAAACAAAUGUUUAAAUUGCAUUAUUAUUUAUUUAUGUUGGUAACAUUUUAUCUAACCAUCAAAUUUAUACAUGGGAAGAUAUUUGUCAAAUCCAUUUUGUUUCUAUGAAAUUAAAAGUCUUCAUUUCAUAUAAUUCACACUUUCUUGAAAUAGAACACAAACUAUUUGUAAGUUAAAAUGUGUUCCACAUGCAUGUGUUAUAAAUGUCCGUGACAUUUUCAUCUCAAAGUCGAUGAAAAUGUUCUUACUACCUGUUAGUUUUACACAGACUCUGUAGUUUAUCCAUGAUAUUAUCUCAAAUUGAAUUUAAGAAAAAAUUGACUAAAAUAAGCACUAACAAAACAAUAGGUCAAGAAAAUGGUAUUUAAAACUGUAUAGGUAAUAAAUUAUCAAUAUGUUUGACUCUUAAAACCCAGUGAAAAACUGAAGAUUGAAAUACAGAAUAUUAAAAUUAACUUUAAAAGAGAAAUGAUGCACUUUAUUUUGGGGGGGAAUAACAUUUACAAUGUCAUGUCAAUUAAAAACAAAUUACAAUAAAUUUCCUUUGGAAGUACAAAUGAUAUGAAACCUUAAUAUUGUUGUUUUACCAUGAUUAAAAUUAUUUCCCUUUAUAUCUUGCUACCAACAGAGUAUUAAUUAAAUAACUGAUUCACAUAUACACCCUAACCCUUCCUCCAUUUCUCAGUACAAUUAUAGCUGAGUUUCAAGAAGACAGAGAACACAUAUUUUUUACAUCAAAUGAAAAAUUUACAUAAGUAUUAUGUACAGAUUACAUAAAACGUGAUCCAUUACUUACUCUCUCAACUGUACAUCACUGUUCAGAAAUUAAGCAGCUAUCGAGCUUUUAAUGAACAAUAGGUGGAAGUCUAGCCAAUUAUUUGCCUUGCAUUGUCGUUAUUUGAUUUUAAAAAGCAUUUUGUUCUACAGCCUUGUAAUUCUUUUUUAUGGUAGUAAAAAUAUAACUACGUAUCCUGUGCCAGACAUGCCAAUUCAGUUGUGAUUUCAUCAUUCAGACAUGGUCUGUCUUGUUUCUACUCCAGUCUCAGCAGCUAGAAUCAUGCCUGAUCCAUUGGAAUAUAAAAAAAUACUUGAAGAAUGAAUGAACUAAUAAAGAAUGAAUAAAUAUACUGGCUAUAUGUGUAUGUAUUAAUAUUUUUCCAGAAAUAUAGAGGUUAAUUAUAUGUUAACAAAAGGAAGAUAAUUUUUUUCUGCCAAAUUAGGUCAUCACUUUUUAAAAUUUUCAUUCAUUUGAAAAUAGUUAUUGAGUGAUUAUCAUGAUCCAUCUUUCUGUAAGCAAUCCAGUCUGGUUAUGAGAUAAUUCUUAGUGGUGUCAGAGAUUGAUCCAUAAAUUCUUUCAGUGACCAAAGGUGGAGAUAAAACCUUCAAAACUCUAUGUAUCUACUACAAAGGGCGUAUGUAGAUUUUGUUUAAUGUUCAAAAUAUAGUAAUAAUGGUAUGGACAAAGAGGAUAUUUGUUGAGUGUCUUCCAAUUUUAAAAAAUACAUUGAAUCCUUUGUUGAACAGAUUAGAUUAUUUUUCAUUAGUUACUAAUCAUUCAUAACCUCAUAUUUGUUUUGCACUCAAACAUUUAUUUCUCCUAGAAUAUAUGCAGGUACAUUUGGAUUGUAAUUUUGUGUUUGUAUAUUUUCUGCAAAUAGCCUAAAUAUAAUGAAAUGAACAUAAAAACAUGUCUUCUUAAGCUAUUUGAAGUAUGGUUCAGUACUUUUUUCCCAAGUAUAUGCAUAUGCACAUCUACUUUGACACUGACAACUUAAAGUAAAAUUAAACAUUACUUAAUGGAAAAUCUCUUUGGUGACCCUAGAGUAAAUUUAUGUAUACCUGCAUGCAUGUAUGUUUGUAUAUAAAUAUUAGAGUAUAGGCAUAUGUAGCUACAUAGCUUUAAAUGGGUUCAUAUUGAACAUACUGCUCUAAGUAUUUCCAUUUUACGAUAGAAUAAUGUGAGCAUAUUUCAAUAUUAAUACAUAUAAAUUUAUCUCCUUCAAAAGGACACCUCAUUUUUCCUGAGUAUAUCUGUGGGAAAAUAAUACCAAUUGCUGUAACCCCAAAUUUUCAGUAGCUCAAGGAACAAAAAAAACACACUCUCCUGCUUCCCGCACCAUCACCAAGCUCUUUGUGUUGCAGGCAACAAGAUGGAGAGAAGAGCUGUAGCCCUUUGGGGACCUCCGACCUAGGGGCUUCCUGAGCCACGGCUGUAACUCCCUUUUUGGGGCUCUGCAGUUUCUGGCGUCUGCAAGUUUCUGGUCACUACUGCAGUCCCCAAAUCUAGAUGCUGGCGCCUGCAGCAGAAGCCACUUUUGGUAUGUUUGGUCAAGCUGCAGUCUUGCACAGAGCUGGUGAAGCGGUUUCAAUGAAAGCCAACAUAAGAAUAAACAUAGAUAGAUUGAACCAACAGUGGGCUUUUUUGGUUUAAACUUGGGCCUGGGAGCAAAUGCAAGUGAUAAAGUCAUUAUGAAAGUGGGUUUAAAUGAUUACACAUUAAAAAUUUAAUUUUGAAAUGUAUAAGCUAAUAAAUUUGGAAAUGGACGGCCACUUGAAGAUGUAUACCCAUCAUGUAUAUUUUAGCAUGAAGCUAAAUUAAGCAUGAAGCUCUGGUUCCAUGACUUCUGGAAGGCAAUGGCCAGUCUCAGACUUAAGGAUUAACAGGUAUUUGGGAGGCUGAGGCAGAAGAAUUGCUUGAACCUGGGAGGUGGAGGUUGCAGUGAGCCGAGAUCAUACCACUGCACUCCUGCCGGGGUGACAGAGUGAGACUCUGUCUCAAAAACAAACCGAAACAUGGACACUGCCUGAGCACCCUCAUUCUGUGUUUGAAGAAAUACAGAUACAAUGGCAGAAAUGCAAGAUACAUUUUCUUGGAAUUACAGUAAAGAAUCUGCAAGUGUUGUGGCUUCUUACGUGUUGACAAGAAGCUCUUCUGGGACCGUCAGCUUUUCUUCUGUUACUACCUGUUGAGGUGAGAGCGAAAAAGAUGGAGACAGCAAAAGAGCCACGAAGUGGUCCAUUCUCUUUCCGUCUCUGACCCAAGGAUCAAGUCUUGAUCUUGUUGCCCAGGCUGGAGUGCAUUGGCUCCCUGCAACCUCCGUCUCCCAGAUGCAAGCGUUUCUCCUGCCUCAGCCUCCCAAAUAGCUGGGAUUGCAGGUACAAAAGAAAGCAAGUGAUCCACACAUUCUGUAAACGUAGUAAUGCACACAGACCAGUGAUUACUGAUUCAUUGACUGGCGUGUAGAACAAACCAAGUAAGUCGAGAAAAAAAUACUAUUUUAAAAUAUCUUCCAUUUA